CAGCAACAGCAAUGGCACAAUCUGUAGAGAACAAUAUUUCAACAAAAUAUCAGUGCACUGGGAAAAAAACACACAAAAAAAAACACAUGCAUACACUGAUAUUAAGGUAUGAAAGGCCACGUGCCAAAAUAAUAGUACUAAUAGUUCUUAUGAUAAUAAUUAUAGAUUAUACAGAUGAAAUUAAAGAUAAUUAUACUAAUAAUACUAAUGAUCUAUGAUUUGCCGCCUGUCCAUUUGGUCAUGUUCUCUCUUUCAAAACAUUUUUUACAUGGUUUUACUUAGAGGAAUCUCCCUGUUACAACACCACUUGCAGCAAUGUUUUCCUUUCCCUAUCUCCAGAUCUCUAGUCUUGCUUCCUCAUCAGGAAUCUUUUUCCUGUCUACAUAUUUUUAAAAGGUUCUUAAAAUAAUCCUCUUAGUUUAGUGCAGUUGUUUUUGAUUUUGUACUUAGACCUGUUUUCUCUUUGAGAUUGCUCAGCUGAGUUUGGACAUUAAACUUAAACGUUGAGUUUUUAGGAGUGGCUUGCGAAACAGGAAUUUCAGGAUAAUGAUUUUUACAAGGAACUAGAGAGAGAGAACUUGCAUUAUUUUUGCAGUCUGUGGUUCCAUAACCUCGACCAACAAUGAAAUGAGGAUAAUUAUUACUACUGAAUUUCUUCUGUUUUGUGUGGAAUUUCUGAACUGCAACCAUAACAAAGACAAUGAGGUCUGGAAUGCAGCUGGUGUUUAGGAUUGGACUUGGAACCAUGUCAGCUGUUUCAGUAAUGUUACACAUUAAUAACACAUCUGCAAACCUGUACACACAAAAAGUGAAGAAAACAUCUAUAUUUUUUUCUGAACUGUGGAUUACUAUGCUGUUUGGAUGAAGAAAACUGUGGCCUGUACUUGUCUGAGAAUGGACACCAGCUUGGAACACAGCUGGUGGUCUAAUGGAGGGCUGGACUUGAAACCCAGUCAGCAGUUUACUUAAGCCUGAAGUUCUUCCAGUAAGGUUAAGCAACUCAGCUGUAUAACACAGAACUGCAAACCUGAACACAAAAGCUGAAUAAAAUCACAUAUAUAUAUUUAUAUAUAUAUAUUUAUUUUAUUUAUUAUUUUUUUCUAACUGUGGAUUACUGUGCUGUUUGGAUGAAGAAAACUGGCCUGUGCUUGUCUAAAAUGGACAUCAGCUUGUUGGAAUCAUUCUGUUUGUGUACUCGAACAUCAAACUGACAUUAGGAGCAUCUGUUGUCUUGCAAUGCAAUGGGACGAGACAGAACGAUGGACAGUUCCUCUUUGUCAUUUUGUAUAGAGUACUUCAGUGACUGCGAGAAACAAUGGCUUGUCAAUAUAUCUUGAGUGUCUGCUCUCCUGCCCCACUGGCAAAAUCAAUGAAAAGCAGCUGUGCUCUUGAACACAGCUGGUGGUCUAAUGGAGGGCUGGACUUGGAACCCAGUCAGCAGUUUACUUAAGCUUGAAGUUCUUCCAGUAAGGUUAAGCAACUCAGCUGUAUAACACAGAACUGCAAACUUGAACAUAAAAUGUGAAUAAAAUCAUCUAUAUUUAAUUAUUUAUUUAUUUUUUCUGAACUGUGGAUUACUAUGCUGUUUGGAUGAAGAAAACUGGCCUGUACUUGUCUGAAAAUGGACACCAGCUUGUGAGGAUGGAGAGACAUCAUAAAGUUGCAUGGACCACCUUCAAAUUGAAUACAAUAUGUUUUUGAUUUACGCUGUAAAUAUGACUAUGUAACUAGUACUUGGAGUAUGAUAUAUCUUUUCUCCUUUUGGAAGACUUCAAUGUUGAGGUGAAUAUUGGCAUGCUUUGUAAAAUGAUCUGAGGCAUAGAAAAGUAAGUUAAUUAGACUGCAGGGUUUAAGUGCUUUCAUGGCAGAGGUUUUGUACUGAUGCUACUAAGAUAAGAUAGUAAUGGAGUAUUACAAAUGCAUAAAUGCAUGCAACUUAGCUGACACUGCAUCAAUAAAUCAAUCCUAUUGGCUUUCACAUUAUAUGACAUUCUUAGAAUACAAGAGGUAUAUACAUGAUGAAUUUACAAGCUUUAUAUUCAGCACUGACAAGUGGAAGAGACCCACGUAAAUUUUUUUUCCCUUUUGCAACAUUGGCAGUAUUAGCCAAAAUUAGGUUCAGUUUAAAGCAGCAUGACUACUAAUAAUGCAAUAAUCACAGACAGUGAAGUCUUUACGUAUUCUUGUACUGUGAACUGUAAGCUGAAAAGUAUCUUAUUAGAGGUUUUGUUUCAGAACAUUAUGGUAAUUGAUAACUUAGAAAAUGAAGAUGCACUUACUAAGGACUCUGGGAAAAUGUACUGAAUAUUUAUAUUAUUAUAUUAAAUAAUUAUAUUACUUAAUCUAAUUGUAAAUGUAUAAAACAUUUAUUUAUGUUAAUAUUACAAAUACUAUAAUAUAAAGUGUUCUCUUCAGCUGCUGUUUUUUUUUUAAAUCUAAGGUGUAGAAAAAUAAAUCAGAUACACAUUUAAAAUAUUUGUAUAGUUUUUUAUUAACGAAAGAAAGAAGUCAUUACAAAGAGUAUAGUAAUUCUGUGCAAUACAAUAGCUAAGCAAAUAUUAUUAAACAUGAUUUAUGACAUGACAGUAUAAUGCUUUAAACAUACAUUUUUUUCAAGUAUAGCAGUGCCCACUUACUUUCCCACAAAGUGACAGUGAACACUGUAUGAAUAUAAAUCAAUGGAUACAAUACAGGGAGUAAAGAACUUUAUCAGCAGAUAGCAUAGCACAUAGUGACUAUUAAUACAUGUAUAUCAUGUAGUUCUUGUAGAUUUACUACAUUAGCUUUUUUUGUGUUUUUUUUUUUUUUUAACACACCUUAAUAUUUGAGGCCAGAUCUGAAGCAGUGGCAGGUGCUGAGUGGAUUUCAUUAGUAAUAUAUUAGAUGUGUGUACUCACUGGCACAGCAUUUCAUUUCAUUUUGCUUCCACAGCAGCAGUUUACAGGAAAUACUUGCCCUGGACGUACAGUUACUUUUAUGUUCACACACAUUUUAUGCUCACUAUGAUGCCAUGCAAUCCAAAUGCAAGACUGAUUAGACCAGUGAUAGAUAUAUUAAUAAUACAAAUAAUAUAAUUAAAUGUAUAUACUAUAAAAUAAAUAUAUUAAGUUGUAUAUAUUGUAUUUUACAAU